rnacentral:tRNA from 1 species
GGGAAUGUGGCUUAGUGGUAGAGCGCUUGCCUAGCAUGCAUGAAACCCUGGGUUCAAUUCCUCAGUACCA